AUACGGAGGGAGCGAGCGUUAAUCGGAAUUACUGGGCGUAAAGCGCGCGUAGGCGGCUUUGUAAGUCGGAUGUGAAAGCCCUGGGCUCAACCUGGGAAUGGCAUUCGAUACUGCAUAACUAGAGUAUGGUAGAGGGAAGUGGAAUUUCCGGUGUAGCGGUGAAAUGCGUAGAUAUCGGAAGGAACACCAGUGGCGAAGGCGACUUCCUGGGCCAAUACUGACGCUGAGGUGCGAAAGCGUGGGGAGCAAACAGGAUUAGAAACCCGAGUAGUCC
rnacentral:rRNA from 1 species